GCCUGAGAGGGUGACCGGCCACACUGGGACUGAUACACGUACCAGACUCCUACGGGAGGCAGCAGUGGGGAAUAUUGCACAAUGGGCGCAAGCCUGAUGCAGCAACGCCGCGUGCGGGAUGACGGCCUUCGGGUUGUAAACCGCUUUUAGUAGGGAAGAAGGGCUUCGGCUUGACGGUACCUGCAGAAAAAGGACCGGCUAACUACGUGCCAGCAGCCGCGGUAUACGUAGGGUCCGAGCGUUGCCGGAAUUAUUGGGCGUAAAGAGCUCGUAGGCGGUUUGUCGCGUCUGCUGUGAAACUAGAGGCUCACCUCUAGCCUGCAGUGGGUACGGGCAGACUUGAGUGGUGUAGGGGAGACUGGAAUUCCUGGUGUAGCGGUGGAAUGCGCAGAUAUCAGGAGGAACACCGAUGGCGAAGGCAGGUCUCUGGGCACUUACUGACGCUGAGGAGCGAAAAGCGUGGGAGCGAACAGGAUUAGAUACCCUGGUA
rnacentral:rRNA from 1 species